AGUUAUGUAAAUGUUCAGUGUUGUGGUCUCACCUGAAAACGGAAUGGCAGUUGGAUAUAAACACCGUCACGGGUUGAUGGUCCAUCUCCCUUUGGCAAUGGAGGCAUGGCGAGGAGGUGCCCCAAUCAGACGGCCAGAAGGGACCAUUGUGAUUCUGUAGCAGUCUGAUCUCCUGCAUAACACAGGCCAAAGAACUUCCUAGAAUCAUCCCUAGAAGAGAUCCUUUCGAAAAACAUCCACCUUGAUCUAAAAAUGUAUGCAUCCGAUGAAGUGAGCUGUAGCUCAUGAAAGCUUAUGCUCAAAUAAACUGGUUAGUCUCUAAGGUGCCACAAGUACUCCUUUUCUAUCUCCUGAACAGCUCUCCAAAGGUACAAAUACUAGAAGGUAAGUUCCUCACCCCAAAUUCUUCUUGCUCUAGGGUGACCCCUUUCCUCCAAAAUAAAAUGCCCUUUCAGGAGCUGAGCUUCAUCCCCAAGUGCAGCUGCAAACACAAACGAAGAGUGAAAGCUGCUGGCCAACACGGGGCGGAGAGUGGGGGUGUGAGAGAACUUGUAUUAAACAGGAAGGCAGCGAGUGGCAGAAAACCAGAACUGUCCCACUCCCCAGCCUGUACUGCAUUAGAUUAGAGGAAUGUAGUUCCAUUUGCCUGGUCCCUGACUGCUGAGCAGAGGUUGGGGCUUAUAAUGAAGGAGCAAUGGAGGAGAGCAACUGCUGGAAAAUGUGAAAGUAGAAGGCAUGUAACUGGCAGGACCACAGCCUGUGUGUAGGUGGGGGAGGGAAAUGCAGGGCAGAGCAUGUGUGUGUGAGGCUGAGCCUGGAGGUGCAGAACACAGGGUAUGUGCAUGGGGCAGGAAGGCAUCUAGAGCAGGUUGGAUGUGGGAAGUUGGCUUGUGUGGGGGGCAAGAGCAGAUGGUGUGUGUUGGGGGGUGGGAUGAGGACCUUAUUUAGUCUUUGUGUCACAGCAGGGUUUAGAGGGCACCAGAGGUGACAGGUAUAAUAGGCCAGAGAAGGCUAAGCCUUCCCUGGCACAGCUGCUGCAGUGGGAUGCCGUUUGCAGGAUUUUAAUUAUUAUUAUGCUCUAUGCAGGUUCUGGGGCAGCUGAGGGGGAGCCUCUCUAUUGGUUCAUGAGUGGCUGGGAGAAGCAUUCAUGUAACUCAGUUGGGUGUGUCCCUGUCUGUGGAUGUCUAUAGCAGGCGUUCUGUAGCGGCUGCAUACGAACUUCUCCCUCCAAAAACUCUCAAGUCCCUGGUGUCAUGGAUCACAAAGACCAACUCCAUGCCUAGGGAGGCGAGUGGAGACAACCCUGAAGGUCACAUGAAGCCAGAGCCUCUGCUGGUGUGAUUUGGCCCAUCCUCACCCUCGACUCAAUAAGAACCUGACCCCAAUCAGGAAGGAUGUCUGGGCCAGCCAGCUUUCUGGUGGUAGAGGGGCUGAAGAAACACUUUACCUUUAGAACCACAGGAUCCUCAGAAGUAAUGUAAGGAGGAGAGAAAUUCACUGACAUGGACCAGGUGUACUUGACGCCUCCUCAUUAAAUGACCCCUUCUUCUGCUGAGGACUGUUGGUCAGUGGCCUUCCAGGAAAAUAGGAAAGGUAGGAAGAGAAAUGAGAGAGAGACUAUGUGCAUGAGCUAAAUCCAAGGUAAAAUUCACAGUGAACUACUCUUGCCAAACAGCAUCAAGUUGCUGAGUUCCAAGUUCAUAGGAUUCCUGCCUUUUGGGUAGAAAACGAAGGACACUUAAUUGUACCUGUGAAAAUGUAUGCAAAUUAUUAAAUGAGCAAAUUUUGAAGAGUUGUAAAUAACUUCAUUUAAUCAUAAAUUUCAGGGCUUUUUUUUAAAGGGUUUAGAUUGUAUGCCAUGUCCUCUCCAGUGAUUAUUAAACAAAUUCUCAUCCUAAAGAAAGUUGCAAUUAAUACACCCAAAAUCUCAAUGAAUUAGCACAUACAUAUGUGAGCAACAAUGCCAUGCUAAUGGCUCACUGUCAUUGCUGGACAUUCACUCUCCAUUCAGCCCAUCACACUCAUAGAAUCAUAGAAUAUCAGGGUUGGAAGGGACCUCAGGAGGUCAUCUAGUCCAACCCCCUGCUCAAAGCAGGACCAAUCCCCAACUAAAUCAUCCCAGCCAGGGCUUUGUCAAGCCUGACCUUAAAAACCUCUGAGGAAGGAGAUUCCACCACCUCCCUAGGUAACGCAUUCCAGUGUUUCACCACCCUCCUAGUGAAAACGUUUUUCCUAAUAUCCAACUUAAUAUCCACUCACUCUCUUCCCAACCCACACACAGACACACACAGUCUCCUCUCAGCACAGACAUACGGGUAGACAACUCUCCCUCAAACAAGCCACACAGAGAGUUGUUACUAUGGGCUCCUUUCCAGUGGGGUCUUCUUUGGUGCCAGUACAGACAGCAACUGUGUGGUUGAACAGAAUGCACUUUGUAAGCGCUUUGAAUGCUCAGGGAAGAGAGAAAAAGCAGCAUUAGAAAAAAUAGAGCACUAGACCCAGUUCUAACCCUAAUGAUAAUAAUAAUGGUCAUUAUAAUAAAUAGUUACUAAAGCUAAGUUUCAUAAAACUGUUAUAAAAAGAUGAACAAUAAUUCAUAUUAUAGUAGUAGUAUUAUUAAAGAUAUUAAUAAAUUGUUGAUAAAACAUUAUAGAAUACAAUCAGUUAUAUAUAAUAGUGUUAAGUAUUGUAAUAAAUCAGAGCUCUACUUCUAGUGUUAAUAACUAGAGUAAUAAACAGUAACUAACUCUUCACUAAAGGAAUAAAUAAUAAGGCAUGAGGUCACUCUGGCUGUGAGUGGCUCCUCCGAUCCUCACUUAAGUCUCUACAGGGCUAGCAAAGAAACAAAGCAAGACACUGACCCAGCAGCUGCUGGGAUUCACUUGCCCCAUGCACUGCAGCCUUGGAGGCUCAUGCUCUGAUACACUGGAGAGUUACAGGGGCCAGAGAAUUGUUUCCCCCAAUAAUGGUUAUAUUUGUGGCUUCCCUUAUGGGGUAAUGGUCUCUAUGGGUAUGUCUACACUACAAAAUUAGGUCGAAUUUAUAGAAGUCGUUUUUUUAGAAAUCGUUUUUAUAUAGUCGAUUCUGUCCCCCCACACACAAAAUGCUCUA